AGUGAACGCUGGCGGUAGGCCUAACACAUGCAAGUCGAACGGCAGCACAGUAAGAGCUUGCUCUUACGGGUGGCGAGUGGCGGACGGGUGAGGAAUACAUCGGAAUCUACUUUUUCGUGGGGGAUAACGUAGGGAAACUUACGCUAAUACUGCAUACGACCUACGGGUGAAAGCAGGUGAUCUUCGGACCUUGCGCGAUUGAAUGAGCCGAUGUCGGAUUAGCUAGUUGGCGGGGUAAAGGCCCACCAAGGCGACGAUCCGUAGCUGGUCUGAGAGGAUGAUCAGCCACACUGGAACUGAGACACGGUCCAGACUCCUACGGGAGGCAGCAGUGGGGAAUAUUGGACAAUGGGCGCAAGCCUGAUCCAGCCAUACCGCGUGGGUGAAGAAGGCCUUCGGGUUGUAAAGCCCUUUUGUUGGGAAAGAAAAGCAGCAGGUUAAUACCCCGCUGUUCUGACGGUACCCAAAGAAUAAGCACCGGCUAACUUCGUG
rnacentral:rRNA from 1 species